rnacentral:rRNA from 1 species
CAGUAGCCACGGUAAUACGGAGGGUGCAAGCGUUAUCCGGAUUUAUUGGGUUUAAAGGGUCCGUAGGCGGAUCUGUAAGUCAGUGGUGAAAUCUCACAGCUUAACUGUGAAACUGCCAUUGAUACUGCAGGUCUUGAGUAAAUUUGAAGUGGCUGGAAUAAGUAGUGUAGCGGUGAAAUGCAUAGAUAUUACUUAGAACACCAAUUGCGAAGGCAGGUCACUAAGAUUUAACUGACGCUGAUGGACGAAAGCGUGGGGAGCGAACAGGAUUAGAUACCCCAGUAGUCCCUGUCUCUUAUAC